CUAACAUUUGCUAAUUUAACACUAAACACAAAGUACAGAUGAGGCUGAUGGGAAUGUCAUUAGUUUUGCAGGUAUUUGGUCGACAUUGCCAUCCUUAGAGCCACAGUGCAGGCAUGGCGGAAAAAUCUGAAUUAUACAACACUUACGCAAGAGCUACAGCAGAGACAUUAAAAUGUUGUCUAGCGCUCCGUGAAUGGUCAACCAAUCAGAAGCCACAGAGGUAGUGACAGACAGAGAGCGAGAAGAGUAGGGCAGAGAAGUUGAUGCAAACAACAUAAGUGACUUUUAGACCGCACAUUUUUUUUCUCUCUCACUCUCACAUGUAUCUAAGCAUGUGCUGACUCUGUCUUUCACCUCCCUGCACUCUGUUCUCUCCUUUAUGGUUCAUGUUACCCAACGUGUGACAGAAAUAUAGUCAAAGCACACUGCAAAGGCCUGGGCCAAGCCAGAAUGUAUGCCCUCUAACCAAACUGAAGUUUCUAUUCAAGACUCAAAGGUAUGUGGAAGCAGCACUCAACUAUGACAUAUUCCUUUUAUAUUAGAUUUGGCACAAACCAUUCACUAUUGACAUCAUUGCUUGAUGAAAAAAAUCCCAAAAAGGCUGCCAUGUUUACAGACGUCAUCCUCAAAAUUUGGACUGUAUGAUCCAAUAUGCUUCACAGGCAGCAUGUGUGCAGUCAUUUUUAGCAUUUAUGGCUUCAACCAUUGAAGAGUUAGCACACUGAUUGGGAAAGGUUAACCACUGAAUUUUCGUUCAAAAUCUGCCAUUUUGUUUCAUGUAUUUAAAUAUAAUUUGUUCAAGGAUGCACUGGCGUUUCUGCGCUCCCUCUCUGACUGUUUUUCCAAUCAUUUGACAUACCGUAUACUCAUGGAUGAGUCUCACCUCUGUCCAGCAGAGCCGUCAGCUGAGGCUGUGAGGACAAACAAUCUGUCGGCAACCUCCAGGACUUCCACACUUACUAACGCUCUCUCAUGAGCCUUCCAACACUGCAACAGAGGAGGCCGCUCACAAUCUGGCUGUGUGGAAAGGGAACAAGUAUUUGGGGAUAUACUGUACAGUACACACUUCAUCUUUUAUUGAUUUACAUCAGCUCUCACACACAAAGACAUACACUCACCUCAUGCUGGACGUCCAGUGCAUAGUGACAGAUGUCCCAGAUCUGUAGCCAUCCAGUUGUGUCUCCAGAGACUAGGAUGGUGUUUUUAGGCUGAUCUGAGCUCAGGCUCAGCACACGCUCACCUGGCUGCUCUGGAGCAUAGAACUGGCCUGGAAUAAGAAGGAAAACCUGAAGUGCACCCGUAAAGAAACCAAGUCAAAUCUAGACGAAUGUUCUUAUUUACAAUAGUCUCCUGUUGGUUUGGGUUCCUGAUAGUCUACAGGGAGAAAGUUGCCUGCAAGUAAAUCUAAGAAUUCAAUUUGUAUGCCACUUUCAAGAAUAGUCUUGACUUAAAUGACAAAUGUACUUCUAAAACAAAAUGUUCCCCUAAAUGUUAUGUCACACAUCUCCCUAUUAUCUCAUGCUCUCAAAUUCCUCCCUGCUAGAAGAAUUCACGGAUACAUAUACAGACCUGUACACACACACACACACACACACACACACACACACACACACACACACACACACACACACACACACACACACACACACACACACACACACACACACACACACACACACACACACUGGCUCCCUCAUACAACCAUGCAUGCUUGUACACAUAUGCAGCGGCCACAGUUCAUGAAUCCCACACCACUAAACACAGAUGGGAUCUGGAAAGAGACAUAGUUGUGGGCUGCCAGGAAUGGUACAGGCGGGAGGCCAAGUUGACAGUGCAGGCUCUCUGUCACUGCUCUGGCUGUUUGGAAAUCCAUCUUAAAACUGACAGCUGCUUGUCAUUUGCUUGUACUGUAGAGUGUGGUGCCUCCACCUCCCUCAUACUGCGAGAAUUUUAUUCUAAAUUCAUGUAUUUUUUUCUUUUGCAUGCAGUUCUUCUGAAUUAUACUUUCUGCACCAUCCUACCUCUUUGUACCCCACUCACUCACCAUACGUGUGCAUCUGUCCAGUGAUGCUCCAAAAGCAGAGAAAGCCAUCCUGAGAUGAGACCAGGACACCUCUGUUUCUCAACUUCCUGUUGACAGCCCGAUGCUGCAGGAAAAAGAGGCUGUCCACAGGGGGCACCACUCUAGAUGCACACAAGCAAACGGGAAAAACAAAUGGAGAAUAACAAUGGAUACCACCCACUAAGGACGCGGUGAAGCACUGGUCCUUGCGUCUCCAGCCUCCAGAUAACAACCUCUCCAUCAUGGCUCGCCGUGGCAACGACCCCCAGAGCAGAGCACUGACACACAGCCAAGAUGUCUGACUUGUGAACGCCGCUGGACUUCCACGACAGCUGCAAUGUCGUACUGAGCGACCCGCUGGCUCCACCCCACAGCCAGCAGCUGGUUGUCAUGGAGACAGGUCAACCCGGUGACCUCAGAGUUGGUGACGGGCUCCAGUUUGUGCAAGUUAAGGCCAUUUACGAGGUUGAGCAGUGCCAGGUAAUCUUUGCAUCCCACCACUAUAUGAGACUGUGUGUGCUCAGGAAGAGGAGGGCUCAGCAACAGGAAGGGGAAGUUGCCGUGUUCUGGGAUUCGGC